rnacentral:misc_RNA from 1 species
CAACCCUCAAGUCCCCUGUGGACUCGGUGUUGGGGACCGGCGAGACAGCCGCGGACCUUCUUCCGCAGCGAGUCGCCGCCCCCCAAAUGACUUGGCGGCCUCGUCGCGGCCCUCCUCUGCAUAGUAUAGCACACCUCGCAACAGGAGCCCGGCGGAUGGCCACUGCCGUAAAACCCCCCAACUUUCUCAG